CAGUAGCCGCGGGAAUACGUAGGUGGCAAGCGUUGUCCGGAAUUAUUGGGCGUAAAGGGCUCGCAGGCGGUUUCUUAAGUCUGAUGUGAAAGCCCCCGGCUCAACCGGGGAGGGUCAUUGGAAACUGGGAAACUUGAGUGCAGAAGAGGAGAGUGGAAUUCCACGUGUAGCGGUGAGAUGCGUAGAGAUGUGGAGGAACACCAGUGGCGAAGGCGACUCUCUGGUCUGUAACUGACGCUGAGGAGCGAAAGCGUGUGGAGCGAACAGGAUUAGAUACCCCAGUAGUCCCUGUCUCUUAUAA
rnacentral:rRNA from 1 species